rnacentral:lncRNA from 1 species
GGGUAUGAGUGUGUAUGCUGUGUUUGGAGAAAGGAAAGGAUGAAAGUGUCGGGAAGGAAGACGGUUGUGGAAAAUGGUAGGGAAAAGCGUCGGUUCUGAGUUAAACUGGAAAUCAGAUCGAAAUAGGAAUGGACCAGCCAGCUUCGGGUGGUUAGUUCGCUCUCGGCCUCUCGUGCAGCACCACCAUGGUCUCACUAUCUUGUUGCCAUCCACCAUCCCAACCAUACCAUGCUUGAGGUGCGUCUCUAUUUCUCUCUCAUGAUUUGGUCUUGUAUCCUCAUCUUCUAUUCAUGUUCUCCGUCCGUCUCAAUUUUAGGUUUUGUGGUGAUAAUCACCCUAGCUUGAGACCAAUCACCCUUAGAAAAUACAAAAUUCAAAAAUUUUGAAGAGUUUGUAACUUCAGAUUAAUGGAUUAAUUUUGCUUUUUCGAAAACCAAAAAAAAAAAGUACCAAGUUACUAUAACACAUUGACACUUUGAAAGAUGGGGGAGUCUCCUAGUUAUAUCAUAGUUCCUAAGCAAACAUUGAUACUAAAAAAUUUCCACCGUCUAUUAUCUUUUGAUUAUGCGUGUUCUGCAGAGCCAUUUCAGGCCGUUUCUCGCAGUUUGCUCUUAGGGUCGUCAGCGUGAGCUUCUCCUAACCCGGUCUUUAGUUUACCUGCACCCCUUCCUAUGACAAUGGUCAGGACAAUUUCCCAUCUUUCAUACCAUGAGAAUGCCGGAGUUGAUCAUCAUGGAACAUUAAUAGAGAUCCUAAGGACAGCGUCCAAGACCUAUGCAGGUCAAGUUUCUUAAAUAUUAGCUGGAAUGGGAA